ensembl:lncRNA
ACUGUCAAUGCGUAGGCUACAAUCAAAACAGUGGAGAAAAAUGAGUUGAUAUAUCGCUCAAACAAUGGAAGACAAGCAGAGCCCAGCGAUUUGACCCACA